GGCGGUGUAGCUCAGCUGGCUAGAGCGUACGGUUCAUACCCGUGAGGUCAGGGGUUCGAGCCCCUUCACCGCUACCA
rnacentral:tRNA from 1 species